GCAAUGGGGGUUCAGAUGUAGAAUUCUUGCCUUCCAUGUGGAAGACCUGGGUUCGAUUCCCAGCCAGUGCA
rnacentral:tRNA from 1 species